CCUACGGGAGGCUGCAGUGGGGAAUAUUGCACAAUGGGCGCAAGCCUGAUGCAGCCAUGCCGCGUGUGUGAAGAAGGCCUUCGGGUUGUAAAGCACUUUCAGCGGGGAGGAAGGCGGUGAGGUUAAUAACCUCAUCGAUUGACGUUACCCGCAGAAGAAGCACCGGCUAACUCCGUGCCAGCAGCCGCGGUAAUACGGAGGGUGCAAGCGUUAAUCGGAAUUACUGGGUGUAAAGCGCACGCAGGCGGUCUGUCAAGUCGGAUGUGAAAUCCCCGGGCUCAACCUGGGAACUGCAUUCGAAACUGGCAGGCUAGAGUCUUGUAGAGGGGGGUAGAAUUCCAGGUGUAGCGGUGAAAUGCGUAGAGAUCUGGAGGAAUACCGGUGGCGAAGGCGGCCCCCUGGACAAAGACUGACGCUCAGGUGCGAAAGCGUGGGGAGCAAACAGGAUUAGAUACCCGGGUAGUC
rnacentral:rRNA from 1 species